UUAACUUUGGGGGUGUGGGAGUGGCAAGAGUGAAGGGUGACACCCAGGUUUCUCCUUCGGUAACUGAAUAGAUGGCCCCCCAGUCACUGAGAGAGGGAAACAUAGAGAAACACUGGACUUGGCGGACAGAAGUGGUGCCUGUGUGUGUAUGUGUGUAUGUGUGUGUAUACAUAUGUUUAUGCAUGUUUACAGGACUGAAGAUGAGAAGAAAGAUUUGGGCUAGGUGUUUCAACUUGCAUGCAUAAAAAUACAUACAUAGUAGUUGAAUCCAUGGGAGUGAAUGAAAUCUCCCAAGAAGAGAGAUAGAAGUCAAGAUAAAGAAAGUUGGUAAAGACUGUGACCAGUGUGGUUUCAGUGUUGAAUUGGGGCAGAAGCCAGCUUGGAGUGGGAGAAAAGGUACAGGGAUGUACCUACACCCAUACAUGCAUUCAAAAUGGGGCAGCAGUAACCAGAAGGUUGAACAGUUGACAGCUGGCCCUGCAAUCAAGAUGAGAUGUACUCAGCAAAGAACCUCAACUGAGGAUAUGAAGCUAGACCUUAUUUAAAUGGCAAUAUUCAAUACCUUGACCCUCAGCCUGAUGCCAUAAAAGGAUGAGGAAUAUGCUCACAUAAAACCAUCUUCCAUGAUGUGAGGAAGCCCAAGCCACACUGUGGAGAAGCCCACAUAGAAAGAAGUCAAGAUCUUUGGCUGACAGCUUCGUAGAGCUCCAUUCUGAUAAUCAGCACAUGUGAAUCAGCCAUCUCAGAAGUGAACACUCCAGCCUCGACUGAGACACCACAGCUGGUGUUGCAUAGAAUAGAGAGUAUCUAUCCCCAUUGAACCCUGUGGUAAUUGGAGAUUUGUGAGCAAAACAAAUUAUUGCUUUUGUUUUAAGCUACCAAAUGUUGAGAGGGUUUGUUAUGUAGCCAUAGAUAACCAGGACACCAUAACAUAUGGAUUAGUGAUCUAUUACUGAGCUGUUGGUCAUCUUUCCCACCUCAAAAAUUAAAUAUAUAAUCAUUCAUGAUAAACAGUAAGGUAAAUUAAUUGGAAGGUGAGAAAAAUUAAAAAAUCAAGUACAAGGGCAGAAAGUAGGGUCAGGAAUGAGGCUAAUACAAAAACACAUAUCACAAAGUCCUAAAUUUGGAAAGCUGUCAGUUUCUAAUGGAAUUAAGCAUAUACCCAACCUAUGACUCGGCAAUUCUACUCCCCAGCAUAUACCCAAGAGAAAUGAAAACAUAUAUCCAUGAAAAGAUUUUUAAAGAAUCUUCAUAAUAGCUACAUUUAUAGUGAUUCCCAAAUGGAAAAAAAUGCAAAUGGCAUUUGACAAUAAAAGAAGCCAUACCCAAAGGGUAUAAUAAUUAAUAUUGUGAUUCCACUAAUAUUAUUCCAUAUAAUUCCUCUUAAAUUACAUUCAAGAACAUGCAAAUUAAGCUAUGAUGAUAAGGAUUGUGGUAGGGGCUACCUCUAUGGGGAGAGAAAUUGACUGGAGAGGGUCAUCAGAAAAUCUCCUGAAAUGAUGGAAAUGUUUUAUAUCUUGAUUUGGGUAAUGAUUAAAUAGGCAUAUACAUAUGUAAAAAUUAAUUGUGUUAUACACUUAAGAUUAAUGUAUUUUGCUGUGUUAAUUUUACCACAAUUAAAAAUAAAUAAAUUGACACUACUGGAAAAUCCAUACAUAGCUAUCUUCCCCACUGUUUAGGCAGGUGCACUGUUAGGCAGGUUUAGGCAGGUGCAUAGAUAUAAUUCUCUCAGUGUUUUGCUCUAUCCAGGGUCAGUCACUGGGAAGGUCUAAUAGGGCUUCCCUCUCUUCUUUUUUCUCUGUAUAUUUGUUAAGAAGGAACUGCAUUUUGGUAUCAGGGACUUCCUAUGCCAAUCAUAUGAUUUGAACAGUGCUUUUGCAUUUCUUGUUUUCUGCUAGAAUGUUCUUCCAUUUCUUAUCAUUCUCUUUGGAGGUUUUUGCGUUGUUUUUGCUUGUGAUGCUUCACUUUUGACUUAUCCUAAUUUGGAAUAUAUCACUUUUCAUCAUCACUUUUACUUUCUAAUUUUUUGAUGUCAGCA